rnacentral:rRNA from 1 species
AAUCAACGCUGGCGGCGUGCCUCAGACAUGCAAGUCGAACGAUUAAAGCUCUCUUCGGAGAGUGCAUAAAGUGGCGCACGGGUGAGUAACACGUAAGUAAUCUACCUUCGAGUGGGGAAUAACGUCCGGAAACGGACGCUAAUACCGCAUAACGCAGCGGCAUCGCAAGAUGACAGUUGUUAAAGAUUUAUCGCUUGAAGAGGAGCUUGCGGCAGAUUAGCUUGUUGGUAAGGUAACGGCUUACCAAGGCUACGAUCUGUAACCGGUCUAAGAGGACGGUCGGUCACACUGACACUGAAUAACGGGUCAGACUCCUACGGGAGGCAGCAGUCGGGAAUUUUGGGCAAUGGGGGAAACCCUGACCCAGCAACGCCGCGUGAAGGAUGAAGUAUUUCGGUAUGUAAACUUCGAAAGAAUAGGAAGAAUUAAUGACGUACUAUUUAUAAGGUCCGGCUAACUACGUGCCAGCCGCCGCCGUAAC